rnacentral:lncRNA from 1 species
AAGGUACAUCAUGAUGGUCAUGUGAUGAAUGACAAUUCCAAUAUGUAAUAGACACCAGGCAUGUGGCGCCUCCAAUGCCUAUUUGAAAUAUUAGACUCAUUAUCACACACCUUAAUGGGAGGCACUGACCAAGUUAUCUCAUAACUUUAUCACUUUAAGGACCUAAUAAUUUAAAAGAUUUGAUUUAAUUGAUCUGAGAAUAAGAGAAGAAGUCGACCUGCAAGCUGCAAAUCC